rnacentral:rRNA from 1 species
AUUGAACGCUAGCGGGAUGCUUUACACAUGCAAGUCGAACGGCAGCGCGGACUUCGGUCUGGCGGCGCGUGGCGCACGGGUGAGUAAUGUAUCGGAACGUCCCCACUAGCGGUGGAUAACUACUCGAAAGCGUAGCUAAUACCGCAUACGCCCUACGGGGGCAAGCAGGGGAUCGUAAGACCUUGCCCUCUUGUAGCGGCCGAUAUCGGAUUAGCUAGUUGGUGAGGUAACGGCUCACCAAGGCGACGAUCCGUAGGUGGAUUGAGAGGACGACCAGCCACACUGGGAGUGAGACACGGCCCAGAGUCCUGAGGGAGGCAGCAGUGGGGAAUGGUGGACAAUAGGGGCAAACCUGAUCCAGCCAGCGCGCGUGUGCGGUGAAGGCCUUCGGGGUGUGAAGAACUUUUGGGAGGAAAGAAACGCCGCGGGCUGAUACCCCGUGGAACUGACGGUACCUGCAGAAUAAGCACCGGCUAACUACGUG